AAACUUAAAGGAAUUGACGGGGGCCCGCACAAGCAGCGGAGCGUGUGGUUUAAUUCGAGGCUACACGAAGAACCUUACCUGGGUUUGACAUCACGGUGGUAGGGAACCGAAAGGGGACCGACCGCAAGGAGCCGUGACAGGUGCUGCAUGGCUGUCGUCAGCUCGUGUCGUGAGAUGUUCGGUUAAGUCCGAAAACGAGCGCAACCCUCGGGGGAAGUUACACGUGUCUGACCCGACUGCCUGCGAGAAGCAGGAGGAAGGUGGGGAUGACGUCAAGUCAGCAUGGCCUUUAUAUCCAGGGCUACACACACGCUACAAUGGGCAGUACAGUGGGAAGCGAAGCCGCGAGGCGGAGCGGAUCCAAAAAGCUGUUCUAAGUUCGGAUUGCAGGCUGCAACUCGCCUGCAUGAAGCUGGAGUUGCUAGUAACCGCAGGUCAGCGAUACUGCGGUGAAUACGUUCCCGGGCCUUGUACACACCGCCCGUCACGUCAUGGGAGCUGGUCACGCCUGAAGCCGAUGAGCGAACCGCAAGGGAGCAGUCGUCGAAGGCAGGGCUGGUGACUGGGACGAAGUCGUAACAAGGUAGCUGUAGCGGAAGCUGCGGCUGGAUCACCUCCUUUAUG
rnacentral:rRNA from 1 species